rnacentral:lncRNA from 1 species
CCAACCGUGACCUGUAAAUGCCAGUGAAGACCGCUGUACGGCAAGUGCUUCCCAUUACGUUUUGUCCGUGACCUCUACGUAUUCUCAUUUCAUUUCCUUCCUAAAUCAAAUCUUGUAGAUUCCAAUUAUUGCCGCAAUACGUAUUCGGAUCGCUCAAUUCUCAAAUUAAGGAUUCAAAAUCAAAAUCACGAAUCGUAUAAUUAGAAACGAAAUUGCAGAUCGGGGCCUCCAACUCGUAAACUCUGACGGCGAGGCGCUCAGGUACGUAUGUGAUUUAGGUAUCUGAUUAUAUUUAUGUACAUAAAUUUUUGAUUUGUAAUUCUGGGAUUUUCUUUUAUCUACCCAUUCAUGCAUCUAUUGUUGAAUUAUUUCAAGAUUUCCACUGGGGUUGAGUUUUUACGAUAUAUGUUUGUGAUUUUCUGUUUGCAUUUCUUAUUGAAGGGAUUUUGUUGGGCCUUUUCUUUUCUUUUCUUUUUACAGGAAAUGUGAAUGAGAAUUAGCGAGUGGCGUCUGCUCACUGCUGAUUCUACAGGUAUAAUUUGUCUGUGUGUGAAAGAAUGACCUAAACUCCACGUUGUAUUUUUUGUGUGGAAUAUUCAUAAUCGGAAUUGAUUCCCACAGAAAUAUUUUGAUUUUCUUGUCUGAAUUUCUCCUUUUUUCUUAGAAUUACAUUUUCCAAAUGUACGGUUUUAAUCUUCUUUUUACAGUAAAAUCUGUAGGAAAAAUAAAUUCGAAAUUGGUAUGAUUGGUGCGUCUAUGGAUUUAACGAUUUAAACUUGCAUUUGGUAUGUAGUAGACCAUAUAAAGAACUUAGUACAAAAUUAGCUCUAAGAGACUCCAUUUUGGAUAGUUCAAUUCUCAAAUUAAGGAUUAAAAAUCAAAAGCACCAAUCGUAUAAGUAGAAACCCAAAUCCAAUUGCAGAUCGUGGCCUCCGACGCAUAAGCUCUUACAGCGAGGUGCUCAAGUACUUAUGUGAUUAGGUAUCUGAUUAUAUUUAUGUACAUAAUUUUUUGAUUUAUAAAUAUUACAUUCAUAUAUAUAUAUAUAUAUAUAUAUAUAUAUAUAAUUCACAUUAUUGGAAAUUUGGAAUACAAUGAUGUGUCUUGUUUGGAUUAUAUGUAAUUUAUGGGAAUUGUGUGGAUUUUAAUUUAGAAUUGGGUUGAUUAGAAAAUCGCUUCGCUGAAUUUGUCGUGUUUUGUUUCGAACAGAAUGUGUGAUUGAAGUGUUAAGAGUUUUAAUAAGCUUAUGCUUGUAUAAUUGAUUCUCUCGAAGUUAUAUAAAUUGGAUUUCAAAUUUUCCUUGUCCCUAGUGAACACUGGGGAACACUGAAGCAUAACAUAGAAUGAAUGUUUUGUGUUUUUUGAAAAUUGAUUUGCAUGACUUUUUCUGACUAGUUUACACAGAUUUCGUGCAUUAUCCAGUUUAUCUGGGUGCAUUGCACACUGUCCAAUUCGAAUGUGUUUUGAUGCUGGGAUGCACUGUGCAUGAUGAAAGUACAGAUCACCCAAGUUACUGCCUUUGUGAUUACUGAUUUGAUUUGGUGUACAUCCCCUAUCCCGACCCUAAACCUUAGCUUGAGGUACUGGUCCAUUUGUUCUAACUGCCUGUUACUGGCAUAGGUGAGGCAGAUUGUGGUCAGAAAUUUCUGCUAGCUGUAUAUGCAAUGGAAGCAAUUGAUUUUUGC